rnacentral:tRNA from 1 species
GGGGGUAUAGCUCAGGGGUAGAGCAUUUAACUGCAGAUCAAGAGGUCCCUGGUUCAAAUCUGGGUGCCCCCU